CCCUACUCCUACGGGAGGCAGCAGUGGGGAAUAUUGCACAAUGGGCGGAAGCCUGAUGCAGCGACGCCGCGUGAGGGAUGACGGCCUUCGGGUUGUAAACCUCUUUCAGUAGGGAAGAAGCGAAAGUGACGGUACCUGCAGAAGAAGCGCCGGCUAACUACGUGCCAGCAGCCGCGGUAAUACGUAGGGCGCAAGCGUUAUCCGGAAUUAUUGGGCGUAAAGAGCUCGUAGGCGGUUUGUCGCGUCUGCCGUGAAAGUCCGGGGCUCAACUCCGGAUCUGCGGUGGGUACGGGCAGACUAGAGUGAUGUAGGGGAGACUGGAAUUCCUGGUGUAGCGGUGAAAUGCGCAGAUAUCAGGAGGAACACCGAUGGCGAAGGCAGGUCUCUGGGCAUUAACUGACGCUGAGGAGCGAAAGCAUGGGGAGCGAACAGGAUUAGAUACCCUGGUAGUCCAUGCCGUAAACGUUGGGCACUAGGUGUGGGGGACAUUCCACGUUUUCCGCGCCGUAGCUAACGCAUUAAGUGCCCCGCCUGGGGAGUACGGCCGCAAGGCUAAAACUCAAAGGAAUUGACGGGGGCCCGCACAAGCGGCGGAGCAUGCGGAUUAAUUCGAUGCAACGCGAAGAACCUUACCAAGGCUUGACAUGAACCGGUAAGACCUGAAACCAUUCCCCCCCC
rnacentral:rRNA from 1 species